rnacentral:pre_miRNA from 1 species
GUAGUACUCCCUCCGUCCGGAAAUACUUUUCAUCAAAAUGAAUAAAAGGGGAUGUAUCUAGAUGUAUAUUAGUUCUAGAUACAUCUUUUUUAUCCAUUUUGAUGACAAGUAUUUUCGGACGGAGGGAGUACUUG